rnacentral:rRNA from 11 species
CCUUCACAUAAGGCCUAAAAACUGUAAAGGCAACAGAUCUCAUCUGAUCUUGGAUGCAAGGCACAGUUGGCCCUGGUUAGUACUUGAAUGGAAGACUACCAAGGAAUAGCAGGUAAGAAGGA